AGUGGGGUAGCUGGGUCAAAUGAUUAAGAUUGCCUCAUUUUAUGAGAAAUUGCCAAACUUUUCCAAAAUGACUGUACCAUUUUGCCUUUCCCACUAGCAGU
rnacentral:pre_miRNA from 1 species